UACGGAGGGUGCAAGCGUUAUCCGGAUUCACUGGGUUUAAAGGGUGCGUAGGAGGGCAGGUAAGUCAGUGGUGAAAUCUCCAAGCUUAACUUGGAAACUGCCGUUGAUACUAUCUGUCUUGAAUAUUGUGGAGGUGAGCGGAAUAUGUCAUGUAGCGGUGAAAUGCUUAGAUAUGACAUAGAACACCAAUUGCGAAGGCAGCUCGCUACUCAAUUAUUGACUCUGAGGCACGAAAGCGUGGGGAUCAAACUGG
rnacentral:rRNA from 1 species